rnacentral:rRNA from 1 species
GUGGGGAAUCUUGCGCAAUGGGCGAAAGCCUGACGCAGCCAUGCCGCGUGAAUGAUGAAGGUCUUAGGAUUGUAAAAUUCUUUCACCGGGGACGAUAAUGACGGUACCCGGAGAAGAAGCCCCGGCUAACUUCGUGCCAGCAGCCGCGGUAAUACGAAGGGGGCUAGCGUUGCUCGGAAUUACUGGGCGUAAAGGGCGCGUAGGCGGACAGUUUAGUCAGAGGUGAAAGCCAAGGGCUCAACCUUGGAAUUGCCUUUGAUACUGGCUGUCUUGAGUACGGGAGAGGUGAGUGGAACUCCGAGUGUAGAGGUGAAAUUCGUAGAUAUUCGGAAGAACACCAGUGGCGAAGGCGACUCACUGGCCCGUUACUGAUGCUGAGGCGCGAAAGCGUGGGGAGCAAACAGGAUUAGAAACCCUAGUAGUCC